UCAAGUUAUUAAGGGUGCAGGGCGGAUGCCUUGGCACUAGGAGCCGAUGAAGGACGUGAUAAGCUGCGAUAAGCUUCGGGGAGUUGCACGUAAACUUUGAUCCGAAGAUUUCCGAAUGAGGAAACUCACUUAGAGUAAUGUCUAAGUAUCAUUAAGUGAAUACAUAGCUUAAUGAGGGGAACUCAGGGAACUGAAACAUCUAAGUACCUGAAGGAAGAGAAAGAAAUUCGAUUCCGUAAGUAGCGGCGAGCGAACGCGGAUUAGCCCAAACCAAUAAAGUUUUCUUUAUUGGGGUUGCGGACAUAUCAUAACGAAGAGGUAUCGUAAUUGAAGAGGUUUGGAAAGACCCACCACAGAAGGUAAUAGUCCUGUAUGUUAAACGAGAAGACUUCAGAUAUGAUCCAGAGUACCACGGGACACGUGAAACCCUGUGGGAAGCAGGAGGGACCACCCUCCAAGGCUAAAUACUACCUAGUGACCGAUAGCGUAUAGUACCGUGAGGGAAAGGUGAAAAGAACCCCGGGAGGGGAGUGAAAUAGAACCUGAAACCCUGCACUUACAAGCUGUGGAAGCACAUUUCUUGUGUGACCGCGUACUUUUUGUAGAACGGGCCAACGAGUUACGUUAAGUAGCAAGGUUAAGCACUUAAGGUGUGGAGCCGUAGCGAAAGCGAGUUUUAACUGAGCGUUCAGUUACUUGACGUAGACCCGAAACCGGGCGACCUACCCAUGAGCAGGAUGAAGCGAAAGUAAAAUUUCGUGGAGGUCCGAACCCACGAGCGUUGAAAAGCUCGGGGAUGACUUGUGGGUAGCGGUGAAAUUCCAAUCGAGCCCGGAGAUAGCUGGUUCUCCCCGAAAUAGCUUUAGGGCUAGCCUCAAGGUGAGAGAUACGGAGGUAGAGCACUGAAUGUCCUAGGGGGUAUUGCACCUACCGAAGACUAUCAAACUCCGAAUGCCGUCAUCUUAUACUUGGGAGUCAGACUGUGGGUGAUAAGAUUCAUAGUCGAAAGGGCAACAGCCCAGAUCGUCAGCUAAGGUCCCUAAAUGUAAGUUAAGUGGUAAAGGAUGUGGGAUUGCACAGACAACCAGGAUGUUGGCUUAGAAGCAGCCACUCAUUCAAAGAGUGCGUAAUAGCUCACUGGUCGAGUGAUCCUGCGCCGAAGAUUUCCGGGGCUAAAACUUACUACCGAAGCUACGGCAUCAGUAAUGAUGGGUAGGGGAGCUUCCCAUACGGGUUGAAGCAUGACCGUAAGGACAUGUGGACAGUAUGGGAGUGAGAAUGUUGGCAUGAGUAGCGAGAUGUGGGUGAGAAUCCCACAGGCCGUAAACCCAAGGUUUCCAGGGGAAGGUUCGUCCGCCCUGGGUUAGUCGGGACCUAAGCUGAGGCCGAAAGGCGUAGGUGAUGGACAACAGGUUGAUAUUCCUGUACUACCGAUAACCAUUUGAGAGAAGGGAUGACACAGUAGGAUAAGCUAAGCACACUGUUGGUUAUGUGUGCCCAAGCAUUGAGGCAGUCAAAGUAGGCAAAUCCGCUUUGAUAAUGCUGGGAUGUGAUGGGGAGCGAAAUUUAGUAGCGAAGUAGCUGAUUUCACACUGUCAAGAAAAGUCUCUAUCGAGGUUAAAGGUACCCGUACCGCAAACCGACACAGGUGGGUGAGGAGAGUAUCCUAAGGCCAGCGAGAGAACUGUUGUUAAGGAACUCGGCAAAAUGACCCCGUAACUUAGGGAUAAGGGGUGCCACCAUCCGGUGGCCGCAGAGAAUAGGCCCAAGCGACUGUUUACCAAAAACAUAGGUUUCUGCUAAGUCGCAAGACGAUGUAUAGGAGCUGACGCCUGCCCGGUGCUGGAAGGUUAAGGGGAUCUGUUAGAGCAAUCGAAGCAGUGAACUUAAGCCCCAGUAAACGGCGGCCGUAACUAUAACGGUCCUAAGGUAGCGAAAUUCCUUGUCGGGUAAGUUCCGACCCGCACGAAAGGCGUAACGAUUUGGGCACUGUCUCAACAACAGACUCGGUGAAAUUGUAAUUCCGGUGAAGAUGCCGGAUACCUGCGACAGGACGGAAAGACCCCAUGGAGCUUUACUGUAGCUUGACAUUGGGUCUUGGUACUACAUGUACAGGAUAGGUGGGAGGCUUUGAAACCAGGACGCCAGUUUUGGCGGAGCCAUCCUUGGGAUACCACCCUUGUAGUACUGGGACUCUAACCAUAGGCCAUGAAUCUGGUCUUGGGACACUGUCAGGUGGGCAGUUUGACUGGGGCGGUCGCCUCCCAAAAGGUAACGGAGGCGCUCAAAGGUUCUCUCAGUACGGUCGGAAAUCGUACGUAGAGUGUAAAGGCAAAAGAGAGCUUGAUUGCAAGACAUACAGGUCGAGCAAGGAUGAAAAUCGGACUUAGUGAUCCGGUGGUUCUGCGUGGAAGGGCCAUCGCUCAACGGAUAAAAGCUACCCUGGGGAUAACAGGCUUAUCUCCCCCAAGAGUCCACAUCGACGGGGAGGUUUGGCACCUCGAUGUCGGCUCAUCACAUCCUGGGGCUGUAGUAGGUCCCAAGGGUUGGGCUGUUCGCCCAUUAAAGUGGUACGCGAGCUGGGUUCAGAACGUCGUGAGACAGUUCGGUCCCUAUCCGUCGCAGGCGUAGGAAAUUUGAGAAGACCUGUCCUUAGUACGAGAGGACCGGGAUGGACGUACCUCUGGUGUACCAGUUGUUCUGCCAAGGGCAUGGCUGGGUAGCUAUGUACGGAAUGGAUAAGCGCUGAAAGCAUCUAAGCGCGAAGCCAACUUCAAGAUAAGAUUUCCCACCGCAAGGGUAAGACCCCAGAAAGACUAUCUGGUUGAUAGGUCGAAGGUGUAAGUGCAGCAAUGUAUUUAGCUUAUCGAUACUAAUAGGUCGAGGACUUGACCAA
rnacentral:rRNA from 1 species